UCUAAUAUGGCAGAAUAGUGCAAUGGAUUUAAAUCCCAUUCAAAAAGCAUAGGCUUUUUUUAGAA
rnacentral:tRNA from 1 species